CUGGGUAAGACCGGUGCCAGCCGCCGCGGUAAUACCGGCAGCUCGAGUGGUAGCCACUUUUAUUGGGCCUAAAGCGUCCGUAGCCGGUCAGGUAAAUCCUUGGGUAAAUCGUACAGCUUAACUGUGCGGCUUCCGGGGAGACUGCUUGACUUGGGACCGGGAGAGGUUGGAGGUACUCCUGGGGUAGGGGUGAAAUCCUGUAAUCCUAGGUGGACCACCGGUGGCGAAGGCGUCCAACCAGAACGGCUCCGACGGUGAGGGACGAAGGCUAGGGGCGCAAACCGGAUUAGAUACCCGGGUAGUCCUAGCUGUAAACGCUGCAGACUUGGUGUUGGAGAUCCUACGAGGGUGUCCAGUGCCGGAGAGAAGUUGUUAAGUUUGCCGCCUGGGAAGUAUGGCCGCAAGGCUGAAACUUAAAGGAAUUGGCGGGGGAGCACCGCAACGGGAGGAGCGUGCGGUUUAAUUGGAUUCAACGCCGGAAAACUCACCGGGGGCGACUGUUACAUGAAGGCCAGUUUAAAGACUUUGCCUGAUUUUCAGAGAGGUGGUGCAUGGCCGUCGUCAGUUCGUACCGCAAGGCGUUCUGUUAAGUCAGAUAACGAACGAGACCCCUGUCCUUAUUUGCUAAGUUAUCCUUCGGGAUGGCAGCACUAUAGGGAGACCGCCACUGCUAAAGUGGAGGAAGGAGGGGGCAACGGUAGGUCAGUAUGCCCCGAAUCCCCCGGGCCACACGCGCGCUACAAAGGAUAGGACAAUGGGCUUCGACACCGAAAGGUGAAGGCAAUCCCGAAACCUAUUCAUAGUUCGGAUUGAGGGCUGUAACCCGCCCUCAUGAAGCUGGAUUCCGUAGUAAUCGCGGGUCAACAUCCCGCGGUGAAUAUGCCCCUGCUCCUUGCACACACCGCCC
rnacentral:rRNA from 1 species